rnacentral:rRNA from 1 species
AAUUUAGCCGGCCGCGAUUCGCCCUUAGAGUUUGAUCCUGGCUCACGACGAACGCUGGCGGCGCGCCUAACACAUGCAAGUCGAACGAGCGAGAGAGAGCUUGCUUUCUCAAGCGAGUGGCGAACGGGUGAGUAACGCGUGAGGAACCUGCCUCAAAGAGGGGGACAACAGUUGGAAACGACUGCUAAUACCGCAUAAGCCCACAGCUCGGCAUCGAGCAGAGGGAAAAGGAGUGAUUCGCUUUGAGAUGGCCUCGCGUCCGAUUAGCUGGUUGGUGAGGUAACGGCCCACCAAGGCAACGAUCGGUAGCCGGACUGAGAGGUUGAACGGCCACAUUGGGACUGAGACACGGCCCAGACUCCUACGGGAGGCAGCAGUGGGGAAUAUUGCACAAUGGGGGAAACCCUGAUGCAGCGACGCCGCGUGAAGGAAGAAGGUCUUCGGAUUGUAAACUCCUGUUGUUGAGGAAGAUAAUGACGGUACUCAACAAGGAAGUGACGGCUAACUACGUGCCAGCAGCCGCGGUAAAACGUAGGUCACAAGCGUUGUCCGGAAUUACUGGGUGUAAAGGGAGCGCAGGCGGGAAAGCAAGUUGGAAGUGAAAUCCAUGGGCUCAACCCAUGAACUGCUUUCAAAACUGUUUUUCUUGAGUAGUGCAGAGGUAGGCGGAAUUCCCGGUGUAGCGGUGGAAUGCGUAAAUAUCGGGAGGAACACCAGUGGCGAAGGCGGCCUACUGGGCACCAACUGACGCUGAGGCUCGAAAGUGUGGGUAGCAAACAGGAUUAGAUACCCUGGUAGUCCACACUGUAAACGAUGAUUACUAGGUGUCGGAGGAUUGACCCCUUCAGUGCCGCAGUUAACACAAUAAGUAAUCCACCUGGGGAGUACGACCGCAAGGUUGAAACUCAAAGGAAUUGACGGGGGCCCGCACAAGCAGUGGAGUAUGUGGUUUAAUUCGACGCAACGCGAAGAACCUUACCAAGUCUUGACAUCCCGCGACGGUGCUGGAAACAGUACUUUCCUUCGGGACGCAGAGACAGGUGGUGCAUGGUUGUCGUCAGCUCGUGUCGUGAGAUGUUGGGUUAAGUCCCGCAACGAGCGCAACCCUUAUGGUCAGUUACUACGCAAGAGGACUCUGGCCAGACUGCCGUUGACAAAACGGAGGAAGGUGGGGAUGACGUCAAAUCAUCAUGCCCUUUAUGACUUGGGCUACACACGUACUACAAUGGCGUUAAACAAAGAGAAGCGAGACCGCGAGGUGGAGCAAAACUCAGAAACAACGUCCCAGUUCGGGCUGCAGGCUGCAACUCGCCUGCACGAAGUCGGAAUUGCUAGUAAUCGCAGAUCAGCAUGCUGCGGUGAAUACGUUCCCGGGCCCCUUGUACACACCGCCCGUC